rnacentral:rRNA from 1 species
AUACGGAGGGUCCAAGCGUUAUCCGGAUUCAUUGGGUUUAAAGGGUCCGCAGGCGGGAAAAUAAGUCAGUGGUGAAAGCCUACAGCUCAACUGUAGAACUGCCAUUGAUACUGUUUUUCUUGAGUAUAGAUGAAGUGGGCGGAAUAUAUCAUGUAGCGGUGAAAUGCAUAGAUAUGAUAUAGAACACCGAUUGCGAAGGCAGCUCACUAAACUAUUGCUGACGCUCAGGGACGAAAGCGUGGGGAGCGAACAGGAUUAGAAACCCUAGUAGUCC